UACGUAGGUUGCGAGCGUUAUUCGGAUUUACUGGGCGUAAAGAGCACCGAGGUGGCUUCUUAAGUUGGAUGUAAAAUCUCCUGGCUUAACUGGGAGGCGCCAUUCAAAACUGAGGAGCUUGAGGUCAGCAGGGGAAGGUGGAAUUCCCGGUGUAGUGGUGGAAUGCGUAGAGAUCGGGAGGAACACCAGUGGCGAAAGCGGGUCUCUGGGCCGAUACUGACGCUGAGGAGCGAAAGCGUGGGGAGCGAACAGG
rnacentral:rRNA from 1 species